GACGAACGCUGGCGGCGUGCUUAACACAUGCAAGUCGAACGGAAAGGCCCUGCUUUUGUGGGGUGCUCGAGUGGCGAACGGGUGAGUAACACGUGAGUAACCUGCCCUUGACUUUGGGAUAACUUCAGGAAACUGGGGCUAAUACCGGAUAGGAGCUCCUGCUGCAUGGUGGGGGUUGGAAAGUUUCAGCGGUUGGGGAUGGACUCGCGGCUUAUCAGCUUGUUGGUGGGGUAGUGGCUUACCAAGGCUUUGACGGGUAGCCGGCCUGAGAGGGUGACCGGCCCCAGUGGGAAAGGGAAGCGGCCCGGGGGUCUAAGGGAGGAAGGGGGGGGAGAUUGUGCCAGCUGGGCGGAGUGCAUGAAGCAGACCGCCGGGGGGGGAAGGACGGCCGUCGGGGUGGAAGCCGGUUUCGCCUGUAACGAAGCGGAGUGAAGGGACAUGGGUAAGAAGGCCCGGCUAAAUCCGUG
rnacentral:rRNA from 1 species